UGCUCCUUACUCCUCCCUGUCCUACUGAACCUCUACUGUAUUUUCAUAUUUCCCUCCCAUUUCUUUCUCUUUCUCUUUCCAUGUAUUACUCAAAUACCUCCAGAUCAGAGGCAGCUUUUUGCCAUUUUUCUUCUGCACGCAACAGUGACCAUCUUCUUUAGAGAGGUAAGAUCACUUCCAGUCUCCAGAGAGGUGCCUUGCCCAAGACCCUCCACCUUUUGGCUCAUCGGGACCUCAGGGUCCCCCCACCAUUAAGGUUGUAUAAGGGGAUGCCUCCUCAUUCUCUGGUGAAAGUCUUUCCAGUGACAGGAGACAUUAAAGGACACUUUGAUCUUGACCCGCCACCCCAGUCCAUCCUUUACAACAGGGGAGCUACCCAGUCUAUUCCAGGGGACUCCCCCUUAGGUUGUCUUACAAAUAAUUUUAAGACCCUCCACUUCCAAACUCACCUCAAACUAACACCUCAUUAGGCUUAGUACACAGAUCUGGCUACAGUCUAAAUUAGACAAGUUAAGUUAAUGGCCUGAAUUUGGAAUUUGGGAUCAAAAAUCCUCCAAGGGAGAUGGGUAUGUGGCUCUGUAGUAGAAACAGUUAUCUGGCAUGUGUGAGGCCCUGGGUUUGAUUAUCAGCACUGCAUAUAAACAAAUAAAAUAAAGUUCCAUCAACUUUUAAAAAAAUAUUUAAAAAAAAAAUCUUCCAAGACUUAGACAAUUUAUUCCAAUGAAAUGGCAAAUGGCCUGAGGUUCCUUACCUCCGAGCUUUCUUUUAUCUUCACUCAAGGACCUCAUUAUGUGCUGGGAGCCAUUUGCCAAGUAGGUAUGACAAUUUCCUUGCCAGCGUACCCCAUGUUGCUUAGUGGAAGGACUCGUGGAAAUAGGACAUUUUGCAGUGACAU
rnacentral:lncRNA from 1 species